UAUUCCGGGCCGGUUACAAUCGUCCAUGCCGCCUCCCCUAGCUAGAUCGACCUGCUCCUCGCCGCCAUUAAUCUCCUGCUCCAGCAUACCAGAGCGCACCACCAGGCUCAUCUCCCCUGCGCUGCCUGCACCUCAACUUGCCGUGGUUCCUCCAGCACCCCAGGAGAUGCACCUCCUGCUGUCCCGCUUCGGAGUGUCGUCGCCGCAGUAGACGGCCGAUGUGUCCAUCACCUCAGUGUUUGCUUCGCCGGGAUCAGAAGGCUAUUUCCCUCAACUGCUUUGCCUGCGCUGUUCUACAAUAGUUUCUACAAUUAAAAUCAAUGCUUCCGAUAUGUCUCAUCUAUGUUCGGUUCGCGACAAGUUACUGCUUCACAGCAUGAACGCUUCUACAUCUCAUGCAUGGGCUUCUUAGUACUGAUUACCAAGAGCACAUAUUGUGGUUCUGCUCGGGGGCAAAGGAGAUGGUCUAUGACCCUAUUGAUGACACCCACGAUGAGCAUGUUGUGGUCAUUGUCUUGUUGAGGUUAUGCUGGUAAACAUCGCAUGUUUGAAGCAUUAGACGGGAAAAAAAUUUAGCCGCUGAUGGAAGCAUAUCGGCAUGCUACAACACGACGGUAAAGUUGUUUCGUUGUGUCACAGAGGCUGUGAUGGAAACAGAGACUUGUUAGCUACAUUGUCAUAGGCCCUUCAAAAAGUAGGAAGCAACUAACGAUUCCUUUGAAGCAUGGAUGGGAUUUCAUUUUCCAACCAAUGAGCUUAUUUGUAUUUCUCGGGAUCAUAUCCCUAAUUACUUUGAAGCUUCUGUACCCAUGAUAAUGGUUCUUGUUUAUGC